CGGGCGGAAACCUCGUAUGUCCAAAUUUGGUCAAUUUCAUAUUUUUUCACAAAUCGAUGUUAUUGGUCAGUCUCCACGUGGGUCUGUUAUUUUUACAAAUUAUUACCCAAUCGAAAGUGUUGAAAAUAGCUUGUGAGCAAACCUCUUAACUCCAUUGGACACUUCAACUGUGUGUCAAACCUCGUAACUCCACCCCUUCUUCACUUGGCGCCGCUGCACUGCCUGGGAGCUUUGUUUGCGGCAUUUUUUCUCCUCAAGAUUGGAAGUCGCUGAGCAACACGUCCUCUGAGGUAAAUGUCCUUAUUCAUGAUUUAGUUAUAUCAAUUAUAUAAUAACAGUUUAUAUAUUAUAUAACAGUUUUAUCUCGAUCGAAGUAAUGGUAGUGCAAGUGUAAUGUAGUCGAAUUAUGUUGAUUUCUGAGGAUGCUAGAUUUUUCUUUCUGCUAUGUCUUUGCAUUAGACGGUAAGUUAGCUAAGUUAACUUAUCAUGUUGAUUGAAAUCUUCCAUGGUAUUGUUUCUGACGAGGAAAUUUAAUUUAAACCGCAAAAAUUGCCUGUCGUUGACUUAGUUAGCCGCUAUGUCACGUUAUUGGUUUUGUCAUCAUGUUAGCUGCUAGGUGAGAUAGGCAGCUGUGAUUUUCGUGGGGCUUAAAUAAAAAUCUCUCGACCCCUGCUAACGCUAGUUCUGGCACUCAUUUGAGGAACAACAUAAUAAUUUAAUGUGCUAUGUCAGGAUUGUAGCUUACAAUGUCAAGGCAUUCCGUCAUGUUCAUCACUUUAAGCAAGCUAGCUGGCCUCUUGCCUUGUUAUCAUACGUAAACAUGCCGUAUAACUUAGUGAAACGAUCAUUUGACCUUUAUUUUAUUUUUUGCAGCAACCAUGUCUGUGUCCUUAAAGGAGCUCUGUCAGAUGGUCAAUGUGCCAUAUGAUCAGGCAAUGGCCCUAAUAUGACAGUGAGAGCUCUGAUGGAGAUAGUGUAACGUUAGAGAGAGAGGAAGCAACAGUGGUGGAGGAUACAGUGGUGCAUGCUGAUUUAUCUGGUGGUCUGGAGGAAGAGGAGGCCUCACUCCUGGCUCCAGAGCAGGUGCAGUUUGACACGGUUUUCCAUGGUGCAGGCGAUGAGGACUCGGAUGCACAGCAUUCAUGCUCAGAUGCUGAGGAAGACGCACCUCCAAGGAAAAGACUGAGAGCUUACAGAUCUUACACCGUGUCCUAACUACACGCGAUGUGACGCGACGCCGCGUCACGUAAUAAAAGGUACAACAACAAUGGAACGAUGGACUUCAAAAUCAACCACUCUGAUUACUGGCAUUCACAUCCAAGUCACCAACUCCGAAACUCCACCUCAGACAGCCACACAGUCACCCCCACUCUAUUCAGGCCGCCUGAAGAUCACAGUGCUGAAAUUCAAGACCUGAAGGAAGUCAUCCCAAAGGACUUUCACAGCUUUUACGACAAUUUACUUCACUAGCUUAAUAUAGGAUGCAGUAUUAAAGGAGAACUGGCAAAAUGAUCCUGGGGUGUAAUAACACAUUGGUAUCGAGUUUUA